rnacentral:lncRNA from 10 species
UGCAAAGUUCUCCAUUGUCAGAUUACGCUGCCUGAUGGGCAUGAAAAGUCCACAAAAGAGAAUUUUCUGAUGUGAGAAUGGAGGGUGUUGCCUGCAACUACCCCAGAUCCCUGCGGUGGCAGUUUAAGCCGCCUCCUGGAGCAGAUUGUUAAGCUGAUGCGAGUCUGGGCUCUGCCUCACCACUUGUCUCAGAGACAGAGUCUUGCUCUGUCACCUAGGCUGGAGUGCAGUGGUGCCAUCACAGCUCACUGCAGCCUCGACCUCCCCGUGCUCAAGUGAUCCUCACACCUCAGCCUCCCGAGUAGCCGCGAUCACAAGUUAAACAAACACAGUUCUUUACAUCAAUGCUUCCGUCCCUGGCCAUCUGGUCUCCUGUCCCCUCCAGACCCAAAACCAUGGGCUGGGCUGCAGCAAAAUGAGGGUGUACUCAGUGCACUGAGGCCCAUGUACCAUGAGAGAUGGUGAGAGAAAGCCUUGGCCGGAGUUUAAGGAUUUGGGGCUGGGCACAGUGGCUCGUGCCUGUAAUCCUAGCACUUUGGGAGGCCAAGGCAGGAGGAUCACUUGAGGCCAAGAGUUUGAGACCAGCCUGAGCA